GUUCAUCUAAGCAUAAGCUCUCUAGCAAUUCUAUCACGAAUAAAUCUCAUUUCACCCUCAUCAACAAUUGAAUUUAUAUUUGAGUCUUCAUCAUCGAUCAAAUAAUCUUCUUUCUCAUUGUAUUUUUGAAAUUUCAAAUCAGCUAUAGCCUUCCUUCUUAUAAAGUUAUGCAGUGCCAUUGAAGCCGUAACAAUAGUUACUUGCUUAUCAAAAUCAAAAUUUGGCAUAUGGAGUAAUAUUCUCCAUCGCAAUUUCCAUACCCAAAAGCAACGUUCAAUAACACUUCGUAGUGAGUAAUGUGCAUGAUUAAAAACUUCUCGAGAGCCUCUAGGUUGACUACCACACGUCUAAAAUCAGGAAGAUGGUAUCUUUCUCCCUUAUAUAGAGCUAAAUAACAUUUCAUAUUUGGAUAGCCCGCAUCAACCAAGUAGUAUUUAUCUGCAAAAUUAUCAAUUCAAAUAUCAAUAGGAGUGAAGACCUUAUGAUGUUACCAAAAUAUAUAAAAAUUUAUUAUAAAUAAAAGUCACAAACCAUCCAAUGGUUUAGGAAAUUUUAGAUCAAUGCUUUGUAGAGCCUCCAAAAAUAUACGUGUAUCAUGCGCUGUUCCUUCCCACCCUGGCCACACAAAGGUGAAUAGCAUGUCAAAAGUACACACGACCAUAAUGUUUUGGGUAGGAUAUCCCUUUCUACCAAUGUAGGGGAUUUGCUCAUUCGUUGGAAGUGAUGCGCGAACAUGUGUUCCAUCAAUUGCUCCAAUACAAUCCUAUCAAAAGAAAUAAAACAAAAAUAAUUAGAAUAAUGUUUUCAAAUGAAAUAUGAUAUUUCAACAUUUAAUAUGUAGAUUACCUUAAAAUAAGGCCAAUACUUAGAAUUUGAUCUAAUAUAGAGCGGAACUUCAUCAUAAUUAUCAAGUGGUCUAAUUUCUUGUAAAGCGAGAUCAAUCAUUUUUUCUAGUACAAUCCCAAAUUGUCUACUCACUAUUUCACCUGAACGUUGAAACCUUUCUUGAAUCAUCCUAUUACCAACACCAUAUCCCAAUGUCAUCAAAAAAAUACAUACUGCCUCUUCUAAUUGUACUCCUUUACUUGAACAUAAACCCAUAACUUCUUUAUCUGUCACAUAAUUUGCAAAAUACAUGUUUUUCCAUUCGAAACAUCUCUUGACAUCGCUUAUCAUUUCCAUUAAGAAUCUCCAUAACAAACUUCAUUCCUGUAUGAGAGGAAUCCCUACAUUGUUUUUUUACCAAAAAAGUGUUAUGAUGUUGCACAAUUGUAACUACAAUAGUAAGAAUUUAUAUGAUUAAAUUAUAUGUAAUAGGAAAAAAAAUAAAAGAAAAAUACCUGGAAUGCAAGUGGAUAACCAUGCAACGAAUAUUUACAGUCUGUUUGGUCAUUUUGUUGUAUUCUUCGUACUCUUUCGAGCUACGAUUCUUGCAAUGAAUUUAAUAAAACAAAGUAUGCCUUACGUCCCCAUGGAUACGUAAAGAACUCAUCAAGUUGAUCAAUCAUUCCAAGAGUUUUGAAAUCGAUGUGCCUUCCAUUUGGUUUUAAAACGCAUUCUACAAACAUAACUAAUCCCAACUUAAAUUUGUCUUCUCGAUCUUGACACAUGUGGAAUACUUCAGAAAGUCUUACCAUAGUAAUUCUUUUUGUAUCAUUGAAGUAUUCAUCCCUAAGUCGAGUAUUACUAAAAUCAAGAUUCACAGUAACUUCAUGACGUGAUAAUCCAAUGAUUAAACAAAAUUCUUGCAUACCAAAACGGGCCACAUAAUCGUCCACUUGUACCCAAAUUUCAUUAUUUUCGCCGCAGUUGAUAAGUCUCAUUAUAAACUCAUGUAUUAAUUUGCUACUAAAUUUUUUAUUUUGUUCUUUAUACAAACUUCCAUAAAUAAAUUCAUGGAACGGACUGCACAAUAAAGAAGCUUAAUCGUUUGCAUCUAUAAGUUCUACAAACUCUUUAAGAUAUUCAUGAUUUGCAAAUUGAGUAAUUGUAGUAGAGAACCAUUGAUUUGGAGAUAAUAUAUAUUCUAACGAUAUCUGCAAAA
rnacentral:lncRNA from 1 species